GGCAGUGCAAGGUGCAAAGUUGUAUUUAAAAACGAACUCUUACAACACGUUUUUCCCAGCAGCUAAUUUGCCUUACCGGCUGCAACAUGACAGAAAGUAUAGUAACAAUAGCAGAACGGCACAAUCCUAGGCUGCAACAAAUGAGAACAAGCCCAAACACAGCAGACACAGAAACAAAGGAAGAAAAUCUACUUACUUUUGGAAGACUUCUGGCAUAGAUCUCCAACAAGAUACUCUCACCUCCACUGCCAAACCUUAAAUGAGGUCUGGGAAGGGCUGGAUCCUGGCUUCACCCCUUCCAAUCACUCACGUCCAUUGCCUGCACCUGAGCUCCCCUGGGUUGGCCCUGCCCUCCCACCAGGUGCUCCAUCACUGCUUCAGGCUGUGACUCAGUGCUUUUGCUACACCUGUGCAAUAGCAGCUAGCACUCGUGCACAGAAAUAGUCCAGGCAAGUUCUGCCUGUGGGCCAGGUUCUGGGUUACUGUUACCAUCCCAUUCCAUCACCUGGGCUACAUCACAGCUGUUCUGUGACACAUCAGCUCAAGCCUUGCUGCAGGACUGGGGAUGCAGCCAGUGGGGACACGGCUGGUUAGGAAUGCACCAGCACAGCACAGUGUUUGUUUCAACUCCUGUUUUCUUCCCACCUACAGAACGUUAUUUCUGGUCCUGCCCACCAGUCCUUGUAGCACCCCAGGAACACCCAGUCUGUAGAGCUGUGUCAUCAGGCAGAGGAUUGUCGAUGGUGGGGGUGGAGUGCAACCUCAGCAACUAGCAGGUGACACAAAGCUGGGAGGAGUGGCUGAUACGCCAGAGGGUCACACUGCCAUCCCAAGGGACCUCGACAGGCUGGAGAAAUGGACAACAGGAGCCUCACCAGCUGCAGCAAGGGGAAGUGCAAAGUCCUGCACGUGGGGAGGGGCAGCCCCAGGCUGCAUUAGGUGAAGCACUGCCAGCAGCUCAAGGUGAUCCUUCCCCCCUGCUCAGCACUGAUGUAGUCCUAAAGUACUGUUCCCAAGUACUUGUUCUGGGCUCCCCAGCACCACAGAGAUGUGGAUCUACUGCAGAGGCCAAAGCAGGACUAUUGAGAUGAUUAAAGGACUGUAGCAUCUCCUAUGAGAGGCCAAGACAGUUGAAGCUGUACAGCCUGGAGAAAAGAAGGCUCAGGGAGAUCUUAAUUUAUUUCAGUGGCUGAAUGAAGAGUGUAAAACCCCAAAAGAGUGAGGCUCUCCUCAGUGGUGGCCAGGGACAGGACAAGAGGUGAUGGGCACAAACUAAAACACAGGUGUGAUCUGAGCAUCAGAAAAUGCUUACUUUUUUUUAAUUUUUUCUUUUUUUUAAAAAACUGUACCCAAGCACUGGGUCAGGUUGCACAUAGAAGUGGGGGAAUCUCCAUCCUUGGGGAUUCAAGAGCCACCUGGACAUGGACCUGAGCAAGCAGGCCUAGGUGGCCCUGCUUGAACGGAGGGGUUGCAGGAGAUGACCUCCACAGCUCCCUUCCAACUCCAAUGAUUCUGUGAUUUUGUGUUUCUGUAAUACAAACCCAGAUAUUUGAAAAAACCAAAUUCCCCACUGAAAGCCCUUGCAGGGAAGUAAAACCCACCAGCAGGGUGCCUCUGUUACCCCCAUCUCUAGGCCCUCUGAAAAACUUACCUCCAGCUCUCAAAUUCUCACAGGGGGGGAGAGGUGAGAAAAGCAGCUCCUCACACCACACUUAUGUUUUAUUCCAAUCCUCACUGAUACCAUUU